AAACGUCUUGUCUGGAAGUACAGAUAGAUUUAGCUUGCUUAGGUGUAGGGUUUGGAUCAAGCAGUUAGGGGAAAAGGAGACGGUACAUGGUGACGACCUCCAGCGGCGGCGAUCCCAAUUGACUUUUUUAACCCGCCUAGUGAUAUAGGGAGAGGGAGAGGGAGAGGGAGAGGACAUAUAGAAGGAGAAGCGAAAGCCGCAACUUCUGCUUGCGGGUUUCUAGUUUAGUACUACAGGCCGCCGCCGAGCGACGGUAACACAGAGACAUCGUUGCACCCCAAUAUUGAGAAACCUAGCUGCUAUUCCGACGUAUCCUCUCUUGGUAACAGGAAAUGUCGAGUUCCUAGGUUCCAGAUAACCAUCGUCCUACCGUCAGGACGUCGUCACUACAUUUGAAACUGUACCGGGUACGGACUUCAAGCUCUUUGGAGUUUACCUGUCACGUUAUCUGACUGCAAACUUUACAUACUUAGAGAUGACGAAAAGUUCAUCGUCGCAACGAGACAACUUCUAACAUAUCCUACCGAACACAGUAGAAGUAAUGUAAACAAACCGGCUCGAAGACAAGGUUUGGUACGUAUCGUGGACUCUUUAACCGUUCAACACGAGAACAUAGUCAACAACAUUAACAACACACUAACGAGUAAUGACUGAAAACCCCUUUUACGUUUUAAAAGUACAUUAAAUAAGAGCUUGUCAACUUUUCGAGUUGUCAAUAAUGAUACAUUAUAAUUCAUAUACUCUC
rnacentral:rRNA from 1 species